CCUACGGGAGGCAGCAGUGAGGAAUAUUGGUCAAUGGGCGUAAGCCUGAACCAGCCAAGUCGCGUGAGGGAUGAAGGUUCUAUGGAUCGUAAACCUCUUUUAUAAGGGAAUAAAGUGCGGGACGUGUCCCGGUUUGUAUGUACCUUAUGAAUAAGGAUCGGCUAACUCCGUGCCAGCAGCCGCGGUAAUACGGAGGAUACGAUCGUUAUCCGGGUUUCUUGGGUUUAAAGGGUGCGUAGGGCGCCUUUUAAGUCAGCGGUGAAAGUCUGUGGCUCAACCAUAGAAUUGCCGUUGAAACUGGGAGGCUUGAGUAUGUUUGAGGCAGGCGGAAUGCGUGGUGUAGCGGUGAAAUGCUUAGAGAUCACGCAGAACCCCGAUUGCGAAGGCAGCCUGCCAAGCCAUGACUGACGCUGAUGCACGAAAGCGUGGGGAUCAAACAGGAUUAGAUACCCCAGUAGUC
rnacentral:rRNA from 1 species